ACAAUUUAAAUGUGAUUUAAAUGUCCGUGCGAGCAUACAAUGGAGGGCAGGUGUGGUGCCAGCAGCCACGGUCA
rnacentral:rRNA from 14 species